AAAUUGAAGAGUUUGAUCAUGGCUCAGAUUGAACGCUGGCGGCAGGCCUAACACAUGCAAGUCGAGCGGCAGCGGAAAGUAGCUUGCUACUUUGCCGGCGAGCGGCGGACGGGUGAGUAAUGUCUGGGAAACUGCCUGAUGGAAACUGCCUGAUGGAGGG
rnacentral:rRNA from 1 species